UGACUUCAGGUUCCAAGGCACUCCGAUCAUCUAUUAACUGUCACUUGUUUCGCUUUCCCAGGGUACCCCCACAGUUGUACCCGGAGCGCGACACAAAUUAUGAGUGCGACGAGCCUUGUACCGGGGAUUGCUACUGUUCGUACACGGAGAAACUGAAGUUAAAUAACGUCAUCCAGCUCGUCCUGAUUAAUAUGGGCAUAGGUCAACCGGGAAUGGCGCAUCCGGUACACGUACACGGCCACCAUUUCCACGUGCUCAAGAUAGGCUACCCCCAAUACGACGCCAACUUCCGGUAUCUGUCCGACACCGACGAUGUAGUAUGUGACGACCCAUUCUGCAGCAGCGCUCGGUGGAACGACUCCACCUGGGAUGACUAUCGGGCGUGGAACGGUAGUUUGAGGGUCAUCAGGCCGAUUUCUGACAUAAAUAACACCGAGAAUGAGACAGCUGAACCGUGGAUUCCGGAAGUGAAUGCUGUCGACCCCCCGUUGAAGGACACCGUGAUUGUGCCAGUUGGCGGUUAC